CAGCAGCCGCGGUAAUACGUAGGGUGCAAGCGUUAAUCGGAAUUACUGGGCGUAAAGCGUGCGCAGGCGGUCCGUUAAGACAGAUGUGAAAUCCCCGGGCUUAACCUGGGAACUGCAUUUGUGACUGGCGGGCUAGAGUAUGGCAGAGGGGGGUAGAAUUCCACGUGUAGCAGUGAAAUGCGUAGAGAUGUGGAGGAAUACCGAUGGCGAAGGCAGCCCCCUGGGCCAAUACUGACGCUCAUGCACGAAAGCGUGUGGAGCAAACAGGAUUAGAUACCCGGGUAGUCCCUGUCUCUUAUAC
rnacentral:rRNA from 1 species